UUUUUUUUCUCUUCAA
rnacentral:sRNA from 1 species